rnacentral:tRNA from 1 species
GGUGGCUCAGUGGUAGAGUACUUGCCUUGCAUGCAUGAGGCCCUGGGUUCGACUUCUCAGCACCA